rnacentral:rRNA from 1 species
AACGUAGGAGACGAACGUUAUCCGGAGUUACUGGGCGUAAAGGGCGCGUAGGCGGCGCGGGAAGUCCGUGGUGAAAGCCCGAGGCUCAACUUCGGGUCGGCCAUGGAUACUCCUGGGCUUGAGCACUGUAGAGGCAGGUGGAAUUCCGGGUGUAGCGGUGGAAUGCGUAGAGAUCCGGAAGAACACCGGUGGCGAAGGCGGCCUGCUGGGCAGUAGCUGACGCUGAGGAGCGAAAGCGUGGGUAGCAAACAGG